rnacentral:rRNA from 1 species
UACGUAGGGUGCGAGCGUUAAUCGGAAUUACUGGGCGUAAAGCGUGCGCAGGCGGUUUUGUAAGCCAGGUGUGAAAUCCCCGGGCUCAACCUGGGAAUGGCAUUUGGGACUGCAAGGCUGGAGUACGGCAGAGGAGACUGGAAUUCCUGGUGUAGCAGUGAAAUGCGUAGAUAUCAGGAGGAAUACCGAUGGCGAAGGCAGGUCUCUGGGCUGAUACUGACGCUCAUGCACGAAAGCGUGGGGAGCAAACAGG